CACGUAGGGCGCAAGCGUUGUCCGGAAUUAUUGGGCGUAAAGAGCUCGUAGGCGGUCUGUUGCGUCCGCUGUGAAAACUCGGGGCUUAACCCCGAGCCUGCAGUGGAUACGGGCAGACUAGAGGUAGGUAGGGGAGAAUGGAAUUCCCGGUGUAGCGGUGAAAUGCGCAGAUAUCGGGAGGAACACCUGUGGCGAAAGCGGCUCACUGGACCAUUACUGACGCUGAUGCACGAAAGCUAGGGGAGCAAACAGG
rnacentral:rRNA from 1 species